rnacentral:rRNA from 1 species
CGUGGAACAGUUCGCCAGUGCGCGACGGCCGUCCGCUGCGCCUACCGGACGUCAUGUGCAGGUCCGGCUGGAGAGAGGCCGGCACCAAACCCAAACCCAGAUCCAAACCCUCUUGACUAGGUCGUUCUCGAACCUGCCGCCGCCGUGGAAGGCUUGUCCAAAUCCAGCGGGGUACGGCGACCUUCGCUAGCUUCGGCCGGUGAGGGAUGGAAGAUGCUAGGCUCGAGUUCCUGCUUGAUGCCGUGGACAGGAUUUCGCUAUGUGAAGGGUUCGCAGACAGUUUAGAUGAUCCAGAUCCGGUCCCUCUGGCGGUGUUCCCACGAGUUGAUGUAGCCCCUACUGCUCAGGUGGACUCAAAUGACGGCUCAGGUUGCGGGCAAAGAUGUUGGGUGCGCAGUCGCGGGGGAGCCGCAGGCAAUCGAUCUGAUCAAUCAAUGGACAGGCUGAACCCGAGGCUCCGGCUUGGGCAAAAAGUUACUAAACUACAAGACUAUGAAGAGCCGAGGGACGGAGGGAGUGGUGGCACAAGAAACAUUGAGGAAUAGUGACUACGACGAGCAAGGUUGAGGUGCAGCCAGCAAUGACGAGUCGACGACGACUGUCGCCUUCUCUAUGGUAAGAUCUCCAUUUUCUCUCCCUUUUUGUGUCAAUUUGAACAAUACACAAGUGCAAACAAGUUCCACUCAAGAGAAGUAUAAACAAGACACAACCCUCUUAACAAUGCCUUGCUGCUGGAAGUACCUGAAGCCUUCUUGGCACUUGAUUCAGCAGAUUCUCAAUUUCUUGUCACUUAUUUUCUUAUUUCUUGUAUCAGCGCCCUCCCAGGUACAACCGAAGACGACGAACUGUUUGAUGGUUUUUUUUGUCUUUCUCAGCUGUUGUUAUAUCUUAAUUAGAAAUUCACUUUUCAUUUAGUGUUAAUCUGAAUACGAGAGUGGAUUGAACUAGGAGUAAUCUGCUGCUUCUUAAUGUUCGAUAAUUGGAUCGAGAUUCACCCUCUCUAAUCAUUAUUAGCUUGGUAUAUUCUUGAACCUCAACAAGUCAUGAAGAAUCCCAUACUUCUUCCCGCCAGUUUAAUAUUGGCAAUUCACCCUUGUUGUUUACAUAUCGCUAAUCCGUUACCAAAUUACCAAAUUGUCUAAAUUUUCUUCCUCCAGUACAGUGUUUCCUUUUCAUUUCCAACUUUAUUAAAUCAUAUUAACUUUACUGAUUUGGAUGAGCUGAGGAUGAAAGAAGAGAUCAGUGCUGACACAUGGUGCUUCCCAUUCGAGCAAUUGGGGUGUGUAGAAAUGCUUUAUGACUUGCAUUCCAGCCGAUGAAGUUGUUAUGCUUGUAUUGUCACAUUAAUUAGGCCACAUUUUUGUCCUGUCAGAUAUCAGUGUAUUUUUAUUUGUAUUUGCAAUUAUUUUACUCUUUUCUCUCAAUUUCUAUUUGGUCUAUAUGGACCAUGGACAAUCAAUUUGGAUGCCUAUACCCCAG